AGAGCCUCGCAUGUAUGUCACGGGGGGUAGAGCACUGGAUGGGCUAGGGGGGCUUACCGCCUUACCAAACCUAACCAAACUCCGAAUACCCGUGAACUUGUGCGGGAGGCACACGGUGGGUGCUAACGUCCAUCGUGAAGAGGGAAACAACCCAGACCAACAGCUAAGGCCCCCAAUUCGCGGCUAAGUGGGAAAGGAUGUGGGAAUCCCAAAACAACCAGGAGGUUGGCUUAGAAGCAGCCAUCCUUUAAAGAAAGCGUAACAGCUCACUGGUCUA
rnacentral:rRNA from 1 species